UACGGAGGGGGCUAGCGUUGUUCGGAAUUACUGGGCGUAAAGCGUGCGCAGGCGGUUUGUUAAGUCCGUUGUGAAAUCCCCGAGCUCAACUUGGGAAUUGCAAUGGAUACUGGCAAGCUGGAGUAUGGUAGAGGAAGGUGGAAUUCCCGGUGUAGCAGUGAAAUGCGUAGAGAUCGGGAGGAACACCAGUGGCGAAGGCGGCCUUCUGGACCAAUACUGACGCUCAUGCACGAAAGCGUGGGGAGCAAACAGG
rnacentral:rRNA from 1 species